rnacentral:rRNA from 1 species
AUCUGAAGCUGACUAAAGAUUAAUCGCUAAGGGAUGGGGAUGCGUCUGAUUAGCUUGUUGGCGGGGUAACGGCCCACCAAGGCGACGAUCAGUAGGGGUUCUGAGAGGAAGGUCCCCCACACUGGUACUGAGACACGGACCAGACUCCUACGGGAGGCAGCAGUGAGGAAUAUUGGUCAAUGGGCGUAAGCCUGAACCAGCCAAGUAGCGUGCAGGAUGACGGCCCUAUGGGUUGUAAACUGCUUUUAUGCGGGGAUAAAGUCACCUACGUGUAGGUGUUUGUAGGUACCGCAUGAAUAAGGACCGGCUAAUUCCGUGCCAGCAGCCGCGGUAAUACGGAAGGUCCGGGCGUUAUCCGGAUUUAUUGGGUUUAAAGGGAGCGCAGGCGGAAGAUUAAGCGUGACGUGAAAUGUACCGGCUCAACCGGUGACGUGCGUCGCGAACUGGUUUUCUUGAGUGAGUACGACGUGUACGGAAUUCGUGGUGUAGCGGUGAAAUGCUUAGAUAUCACGAAGAACUCCGAUUGCGAAGGCAGUGCACGAGUCCUUUACUGACGCUAAAGCUCGAAGGUGCGGGUAUC